GUAACGGCGAGUGAAGCGGCAACAGCUCAAAUUUGAAAUCUGGUCACCUUACGGAGGCCCGAGUCGUAAUUUGAAGAGGAUGCUUUUGGCGAGGUGCCUUCCGAGUGCCCUGGAACGGGACGCCACAGAGGGUGAGAGCCCCGUAUGGUUGGACACCGAGCCUAUGUAAAGCUCCUUCGACGAGUCGAGUAGUUUGGGAAUGCUGCUCAAAAUGGGAGGUAAACCCCUUCUAAAGCUAAAUAUUGGCCAGAGACCGAUAGCGCACAAGUAGAGUGAUCGAAAGAUGAAAAGCACUUUGAAAAGAGAGUUAAACAGCACGUGAAAUUGUUGAAAGGGAAGCGCUUGCGACCAGACUUGCGCCCGUCGGAUCAACCGUCGCUUGUCGGCGGCGCACUCCGGCGGGCUCAGGCCAGCAUCAGUUUUCCCGGGGGGAGAAAGGCGGUGGGAAUGUAGCUCCUAGGAGUGUUAUAGCCCGCCGCGUAAUACCCUCGGGGGGACUGAGGACCGCGCAUCUGCAAGGA
rnacentral:rRNA from 1 species